AUGGAGCAUAAAAAAACAAUAGGAGCUCUUCCUUCCCGUAGUAUGAACAUGCUACCGCUGCCUUGCACCUUAAUGCGAUGCCGCUGCCUUGCACCUUGAUGCGCCACAGCUGCCACCGGCCAAUUAACAGGAGGUAUCUAUUUGUAUCCGCAUCAACGCAUGUUGUUUAGCCAACUUCAAUAAAAUUUGAAAGACCAUUAUGCUGAAAACAACAAAAACAAAGAGUAGUGUUCUCAAUCAGAUAAAGAAUUACUUGUUUACUAUACCUAAGCCAUAAAUAUGAACAGUUUCAAAAUUGAGCGAGUGCACUAAUGCUCUAGUUAUCUAUGUAUAGAAAGCUUAUAUGUGUGCAGUAAAUUUAUAAUUGUCCACCUGAAUCAGUGUUAUACACAAGCAUAUAUGAUCCAAGCAGGAUAAAGUAUCAACAAAAAGAGAUGGAAUUACCUACAGGAUUAUGCAUAGCAAUCAAGGUGCAUAUUUGUAUGUAGCUAAACAAUGGGCAAUCUGAAUAGACUUGAGGGAUUAGAAACGAAACUCAAC
rnacentral:lncRNA from 1 species